CUCCGCCACCGCCGUGCCUGCUCCGCCAUCACUGCUGGUUAUGCGCCACCUGCUCUACGGCGGUCGUCGCUAGUGUUUGCUCCACGCACCGCUGCCUCGCCAGCCGGCCGAAGGGCGCGCCGGCGACUGAGAAGACUAUCAACUAGGUCUCCCUGCGCGGCUGCCCGAGCACCCUCUCCCGGAAGGCGGUGCUCCUCCCGCGGCCGGCCCUCCCGGCGUGACCUCCUCCCUAGCGACGUUAGCCUCUCCCAGCUCUAGCCCUCCCCGGCACCGCGCGACCUGCUCCCCGCGCUCCACCAUUCCCCGCCGUCGCCCUCUAUCGCCAGAUCCGGCGCGUCGGUGGGCGCGGACGGGUAUGGGUGGGCGGGCGGCGUCGGCCUGCGGCAGGCCACGGCAGGCGAGCAGGCCAAGGCGGUGGGGCGGGCCAAGGUGGGCGUCGGCGGCCAAGCAGGCUAAGGCGGGCUCGGGCGGUGUCGAGCGGGCGUGGGGGCGAGCAGGCCAAGGCGCGAGCGGGCUGCGUCGGCGAGCGAGCGGCCGGCGGCGGCAUGGUUCUACACCCCAUUUGGGAACCCAUCCGAGUCCCCCCCCCCCCCCCCCCCCCCCCCGAUCUAGAGCAGCACGUUGGAGCAGGUAAACGCAGCAGCACCUCAUCAUCCUGAUGCAGGCGGGCACGACGCGGUGGUCAGGCUCGGGGCCAGCGGCUACGGCUUCUCGGUGACCAGUUCCACUCUUUCCCCGAAAGGUCGGAUGAAAUCAUCGAGAACCUCCGCACCCUUCCCUGCCUCAUAUGCAAAUCGAAGCAGCAGCCAGCAGCAACACGUUUCAUUCCUCUGCUUCUACUCCAAGGCACGGCUCCAAAUCAGAGCAGAACCUGGCGUUGCAUCCUGACCUCCACUGUUUAUUCCUCCAAAUCCAAGCUGUAGAGCAAUGGGCAAGCACUAGAGAACAUGAUUAGGAUUAGGAAAAUACAGAUUUGUAUGUAUUAAAGCUAGGACACUGCAGCUAAUGUUGCCUUCUCUUUUCAUUGUUAACGCACAAUAUCAAAAUGAUUGGGAAAUAUACCCAGUUAGAUGCUUGUGUAUACUACUUGCUUUUACUCUCUAAUAAUACCAUCUUCUUUAUUUGAGUUAUAGGCAAUGGUUGUUAAUUGUGGGUGAUUUGUGAUCUCAAAAGCCAGCCUGCUGUCUGCUCCAGAGGUAGGAAUUUUUAAUUUUGCCAUAUCGUGUGAAUUUUUCUAGCAGUAAAGAAUAUUUGCCCUAAGCCCUAUUAACUCUACAAGCACAGUGACAGAAGGUUUAUGUUAGACUUGGUUUAUGGGAUAUAUAUCUCAUGAGCACACUGUUUCAUUUGUGAACUGAUGAGAAGUACGGUAGGAUUGGUCUUAUUUGUUCUUUUUCAUUUUUCAUGCAAAUUGAUUUUUUUUCCCUCAUGUGUGCUCUGCUAAACUGGUAAAUAUAGCAUGAGAGUCACAAUCCUGGGUCUAGGCAAACUAUACUUUCUGUUUGUCUAUGUUUACAGCAUAACAUAUCAUGUGCUUCUCAUGCUAUAUUUAUUAUUGUGAAACUAUAUUUAUUCUUUUGUUUCAGUUCUAAUGCUUUUUUCUAUUUCAGAUGCAUUCGGAGUGUGCCAGCAGAUGCACUCUGGCACCAAUACCAAAUGAAUUAUCAUUUCCUUUCUGCUCCAUGCCUUGAUGAUGUGCUUUCUGGGUACUCUCCUAACGAAUGUUGCCUAUUCCAUCAUCAGAAUAGAGAUAUUGCCUGCACGUUUGUUCGGUCUACUAACAUACUAGAAUACGUCAUAUGUUUUUUGUUUUUUCAGCGUAGUUUUCAAAUUUCAGUUCCAAUGGUGGAAGCUCUUUUUUGUAUCAGUAGAGUAAUGUGUGUUCUGCUUUUCACACAAACUGAUCUUUCUAGAAGAUAUAAUGAUUUCACUGAAUAACUUCGAGGAAUUAAGUUUGAAUUAUGUGUACCUCAUCAAUUUGGCAAAAUUGCCACAAAACA